rnacentral:lncRNA from 1 species
AAGGAAUAGGAAGCAGCUUUGACCAUCCCACUCUGAGCGGUAGCAGCAGGUUGAAGCUCACAAUCCAACGAUCAGCAUUAAAUACAUUGCAAAAAACCACCACCCCUAACCACAAGAUGCGAUUGAGAAUUCAAAUCGUCCAUCAGAAAUGGAUUAGAAGAAUCCGAAACCCUGGCCCACAAAUAUUAAUUAAAAAAGCCCAAUAAAUAUUUUAUGCAUAUCCAAAAACAUUGAAUAGCACGAGAAUUAAUUAUAGAAAAAAAUCUAAAAGAAUAAAGCACAACCGUUGGAUCUAUCCCAAGGCAAUUAACCUAGUAAUAGAUCGUAGGGUAAAUACGCGCCGUUGGGUAAUUGUAACUGCGAGUGGUGGAUAUAUAAGAGAACGUUCACUUCACUCUUUGUAGUCUCUUCUAGGGUUAAAGCAGCGCAGCUAGAAAAAAAGGGUUUUGUGAAAAAAAUUUGAAAUCAUGAGUUCUAGGUUAUCUGGGAAGGUGAAGUGGUUCAACGAUCAGAAGGGGUUUGGAUUCAUUACCCCUGAUGAUGGUACCGAGGAGCUUUUCGUUCACCAAUCUCAGAUCCAGACUGAUGGUUUCAGGAGUCUUGCUGAAGGUGAAUCUGUCGAGUAUCAGGUUGAAUCUGAUUCCGAUGGACGAUCCAAGGCUGUUCAGGUGACUGGUCCUGAUGGUGCGUCUGUGCAGGGAAGCAAGCGUGGUGGAGGAGGUGGUUAUGGAGGCGGUGGUGGUGGUUAUGGAGGCGGUGGUGGCUACAACAGUGGCGGUGGAGGUGGUUAUGGUGGAAGCAGAGGAGGUGGCGGAUACGGUGGAGGAGGUGGCGGAUACGGUGGAGGAGGAGGUGGUUAUGGUGGAGGAGGUCGAGGAGGAGGACGUGGUGGAGGCGGCGGCGGUGGCGCUUGCUAUAACUGUGGUGAAUCUGGUCACAUGGCGAGGGAUUGCAGCCAGGGUGGAAGCGGAGGUGGAGGUGGUGGAAGAUACAGUGGAGGAGGUGGUGGAGGCGGCGGUGGCGGUGGAAGCUGCUACAGCUGUGGAGAAUCUGGUCAUUUUGCGAGAGAUUGCCCAACCAGUACCCGUUAGAUCUCUGCGGAUUACUUUUUAUGAGUAAUGUGUUGGUGAUUUAGUUGGUUUUUUAAGUUUCAGAGUCGCCUUUUUGGUUUUGAUUUUAUCUUUAUAUUUUGCAAUAGUUUUAGGGGUUUUUGUGCUGGAUCUAUCUAUUAUGCGAACUCUUGGUUUUUAUAAUGAAUGAAUGAAAUGUCGGGCUUAUUUUGUUCAGUUUGUGUUUUUACAUUGUUGGAUCUGGGAAAUUUCGGUGAUUAAACCUGUGAUUUUUUAGGGUUUAUGACUUAAAUUUUCCAAAUUUCGGAUUUGUUGGUUCGAUUUUAUGGUUGCGCUUUAUGAAUCUUAUAAGUUAUAAUUUCAUUAAACAUCUAUUGUGUAUGAUAUCUAAUGCAAUUUUGUUGUAUAUUAUUGUAUUUUGGUAACCCUUGCAUGGAAAUGCAUUAGUUUACACAGUAUUAUGAUAUAUUACUAUUUGAACUAUUUUAACUUUUCUUUAGAAUCGAAGUUACAAGUAUUGGGUAGUAUUUCAGUUUGUGAUUUGCAAUAACGAUUUAAAUUUCUUACUGAUAUUUAAUCAAAUGGACCUCAUCAACCUAAUUUUCGUUCUUUGUCUAAUAAUUGCGUUUUAUUUCCUCAUGAUAUAAACAUUGAGAUUGUUAAAAGUACCUUCUCUUUGUAUUUUAGUUUGCCAUUAUUUGAUAAUUGUCCAACUGUAGUCAUUGGUAAAACAAGUAAUUUAUACUGCAUUUGGUUAAGUUACCUUGUUUUUUGUUUCAUUAUGUCUGAUUCGUUGCAUUUAUCUUAAUGGAGAAUUUUGAUAGCUACGAAAUUGUAGAAGAAAGCAAUUAAACAUUGGUGGAGUGUUAUUUUUGACCCUAGAGUUUUUGUGUAAUACAUUGGAUAUUUUAUUGUUUAAGAAUUGAUACAGCAAGAAGUUCAGUUGUGCUGUUUUGUGAUUAAAAUGAUUUUUCUAUUUAUACUUGCUAGUUUGUUUUUGUUUUUUAGUGGGGUUUAGUUUACAUAAUUUUGUAAAUUAAUUUUAUAAACAAACGAUGAAUUCAUUUACGAAGUUCUUUAUUUCUCUAUUAUAUAUUUUUUGAAUAUUAUUAUUUUUAAAAAAAUCAAUAGAAUGAGCAAAAUUGUUUAUGUUUCUGUUAAAAGUGAUUUUUGUUGUUUAUCUUGAAGUAAACUUGAUAUGUUUUUGAAAUUGAUUUUACUUUAAUUAGCGAUUUUGUUUUUGAAGUUUAUAGUGAUUCUUUCUUUGGAAAAUUUCAUUUUGUCAUUUUUACGCUAUUUAUUUUUGAAUAAAUUCUUUUUCCUAAUAUAUGUUGAUUCGAAGCAUAAAAGAAUAAUUCGUUUCAUUGAGUGGUUAACGUCAGAGUGUAUGAUGAAAAACAGUAUAAUUUUGAUAGUUUAUUGUUGAUUUGAUAUAUUUUUGUAAAUUUUUUAUUUUUAUUAGUUUAAUUUUUAUUUAAAUAAAUUAUAAUUCAACUUUCAAACCCUCGAAUAAAUCUUAAGUUGGGGGAAGGAAAAUUCAAUCUUAUAGAAUUGAACCAAAAUAUAUUAUUUAGAGUAAUUUCUAACCAAUACUAGAAUAAAAUCUAUUCUAGUCAUCCACUUUUGUCAUCUAUGGAGUUAAAAUUGAAUAUUAUCUUAUAAAUAUAAAAGUAACAGAUAUAUCAUUUCAUACAACAUUGUGAUAUUUUAACUCUUUUAAUGUUAUAUUAAAGAUAUUUGUUAGUAUUUUUUAUUUAUUUAAAAGUUCUAAAAAUGCUUUAAUAGAUUUAAAUUGGACCCUAUAUAUUUUAAUCUAUUGAGACAAAAACUGGAUUCAAAUUCUGGAUUUUCUAAUACGAACACAUUAACAAAAUAAUGAGUUAAAACCUAAAUCUCAAACUUCAGUUAAUUAUAUAGAAAAAAAUAUUAAAGCAAAAUGAACGACCCUACGAAUGUUUAUUAACUUGCCUUUGUUUGCCUUUGUUUGGAGGAUUUUUGUGGAUGUAAACGUGUUUGAGGCCCCAAAGAUGUGAAUUUUCACAUGCAGAGAUGGGGAACAAAAUCUAUUCUAAAAUACCCCAUCCCACAUAGUCCGAUUCCAUUUAAAAUAUCAUAAUACUUUUAAUUUAAUAUACUUUUAAAUUUUUAUAUAGACUUAUUUUUAUUUAAAACAAUAAUUUAUUUUUUAUUUAAUAUAAUUAUUUUAUAAAUAAGUUUGAUAGUUUGUUGAUCAUGAUUUUCAAAAUUUAUUUGGUAAUAUCAGGUGGUUGGUUUUUAAAUUUUUUACUAUUGAUUUAUUAAGUUAGUUAAAAAUAAAAAAUAAAAAAUUUACUUUUAUGGAUCUUAUAAAUACUUUGAAGAUCUAUACAAAUCAGUGGGGACUAGGAUGGGACAAUGACCCUGACGUAACAAUUUAAGAAAAAUAUUUUUAUAUUUAAUUUUUAUUGCGCCCGAAAGUAAUUGAAUUAAAAAUGAUACUUGUUCAUUUAAAAUUACAUCUGAUUAAAGUUAAAUCUAAGCUAUUUAAAAAUUGAUUAAAAGAAAAUAUUUAUAAUUAUUUGAUAGAAAAGACAAAAUGUUAAUCAUUGAAGAGUAAAAGAUCAAAUAUAAUUCACAUCUAACCUAGUAGUAAAUUAAUCUAAAGAAUAUGAAAUCAUAAUAAUUGAAGUAGAAUAUACUGAACUUAAAAAUACAAGAGAAAUUACCUAUGGAUGGUUGGUUGAUGGUAUUUGGCGCUAAAUUUGAUAGGGAGGAUUAUAGUUUGAUCUCUGCAACUAUGAUUGGGAAGGGAUGGAAACACUUUGGUCAGAAUGGUCAAUGACCCUCGAAUCAGAUUAAUCGGUCCGAUGGUAAAAGAAUACAAGAGAAACUAUUGUAGACGAUGCUUCGAUGAAAAUUUGGUUUGGAAAAUUACCAGAGAAAAGGAGAGUUUAUCCAACGAAUUGCUGGAAGCCAUAGAUCUCUGCUAAUAACAUAUAGUAAACAUUGAAAAAGAACAAUGAAUGAUUCUGAAUUAUAUUGUAAGCAAUGCAGAAAGAACAAUUUUAAAAAGAAAAAACAGGGGAAAGAAGCUUACUAGUGCUUCCGCAUCAAAAGAUUUGCACUCAAUCAGACCCUAAAAUGGAUCAGUCAAUUUCCCAUUGCAGUCUUUCUUUGCAUUUGCCCAAUCAAUUUCAAGCAUUGACAUCAAAAUUAAACAGACAAGCUAUGAAAGAAAACACAUGAGGUUGGAGAGAAGAGAACAGAGAAAGUGGUUUACAAUAGGAUGAACAGA